rnacentral:rRNA from 1 species
UUGAUGUGUAGGAUAGGUGGGAGGCUUAGAAGUGUGGACGCCAGUCUGCAUGGAGCCGACCUUGAAAUACCACCCUUUAAUGUUUGAUGUUCUAACGUUGACCCGUAAUCCGGGUUGCGGACAGUGUCUGGUGGGUAGUUUGACUGGGGCGGUCUCCUCCUAAAGAGUAACGGAGGAGCACGAAGGUUGGCUAAUCCUGGUCGGACAUCAGGAGGUUAGUGCAAUGGCAUAAGCCAGCUUGACUGCGAGCGUGACGGCGCGAGCAGGUGCGAAAGCAGGUCAUAGUGAUCCGGUGGUUCUGAAUGGAAGGGCCAUCGCUCAACGGAUAAAAGGUACUCCGGGGAUAACAGGCUGAUACCGCCCAAGAGUUCAUAUCGACGGCGGUGUUUGGCACCUCGAUGUCGGCUCAUCACAUCCUGGGGCUGAAGUAGGUCCCAAGGGUAUGGCUGUUCGCCAUUUAAAGUGGUACGCGAGCUGGGUUUAGAACGUCGUGAGACAGUUCGGUCCCUAUCUGCCGUGGGCGCUGGAGAACUGAGGGGGGCUGCUCCUAGUACGAGAGGACCGGAGUGGACGCAUCACUGGUGUUCGGGUUGUCAUGCCAAUGGCACUGCCCGGUAGCUAAAUGCGGAAGAGAUAAGUGCUGAAAGCAUCUAAGCACGAAACUUGCCCCGAGAUGAGUUCUCCCUGACUCCUUGAGAGUCCUGAAGGAACGUUGAAGACGACGACGUUGAUAGGCCGGGUGUGUAAGCGCAGCGAUGCGUUGAGCUAACCGGUACU